UACGUAGGGUCCAAGCGUUAAUCGGAAUUACUGGGCGUAAAGCGUGCGCAGGCGGUUGGCAAAGUCAGCUGUGAAAGCCCCGGGCUUAACCUGGGAAUGGCGGUUGAAACUAGUCGACUAGAAUCUGGCAGAGGGGGGUGGGAAUUCCACGUGUAGCAGGUGGAAAUGCGUAGAGAUGUGGAGGAACACCGAUGGCGGAAGGGACAGCCCCCUGGGC
rnacentral:rRNA from 1 species